GGGGGAGCCACAGAGCGCGGCCCUGCCCUGGCGCAGGCACUGAGGCCGGGCGCGGCCCUGAGCAGCGGACCGAGGGACGAGAAGGGAACCCCGGCUACGUGUCCACGAAGCUCCCGUGCCAUGAAACCGGUUGGCAAGCUUCCACUGAGCUUCACAUAAGCUUCGCGUCGAAGGCAGCCACUGAGCACCUGUGCCUGCUGCUGCGACACUUCACGCCACACUUCACGAGCUCCUUCCGGUCCACGCACACGUGUGUCUCCUCCACGGAAUCAGACUGACCCGUGUCCUGCCAAACCCCAAGCCCUCUACCUCUGAAUCACAGAGCCAGGCACUCGAUCCGGGAGUUUACACUCAGUCAUCUCUCUGUGGCCCCAACCAGCCGCAUGAGGGCUUUCCUGGACCCUGCACGCUCCCGAAAUCUCCUUCCCCCAACCCCGUCCCCUGGCCUGUCGCUCCCUGAGAAUGAGAGCUGUUCGCGACUUCGGUGGGAACACUGGU